rnacentral:rRNA from 1 species
UACGUAGGUGGCGAGCGUUGUCCGGAUUUACUGGGCGUAAAGAGCUCGUAGGCGGUGUGUCACGUCGGCCGUGAAAACCUGGGGCUUAACUCUGGGCGUGCGGUCGAUACGGGCAUCACUAGAGUUCGGCAGGGGAGACUGGAAUUCCUGGUGUAGCGGUGAAAUGCGCAGAUAUCAGGAGGAACACCGGUGGCGAAGGCGGGUCUCUGGGCCGAUACUGACGCUGAGGAGCGAAAGCAUGGGGAGCGAACAGG